AGAGAGAGAGAGAGAGAGAGAUUAAUGGGUAUUGUUUCUUCUUUGAAAUCGCUCUCUUAUUUUACGAAUAUAUGACAACAAAGCUCCUUGUUCAAUCUGUUGUGGUAAAAUUUCAUGUCUUGUAAAGGAUUGUCUUGAGGUAUCUGAUUCAGGGAAGUUAGGCACCAAAAAGGAUUGAGUGAAACGAGUUGCAUUUGAUUGAUUGAAAUCUGUUCUCGGCUCCAUUCGCGCUGCCCAAAAAAUCACAGAAAGAGCAACAGCAUUCAUCUGCAAAAUGGUUUAGCACCAAAACAUAAGUUUUCUUUUUUCCUGAAUAGAAAACAAACCCAGCAAACAUCUUUAAAACGUUGAUUAAAACCAAUUUAAAAUGAUUCUUAAGGUAAAUUUGACAUGUUGGUCAUAAAUUUGUCAUAUUUUUGUGAAGAUAUCUAAAAGGUGUUUUAUAAGUAUGUCAAAAAGAAUGAAAGAAAGUAAAAAGUCAUCCAGUAAUAUCUAGUGCCAAAACACAAACCAUAACCAAUAAAGGGUGACCCUAUGCACAAAAUAUCUCACACCUAUGGGUUCUAGAGAGGAUUCAUGCACUUAGCCUUAUCCCUGCGAACUCGUGACCUCCAAAUCACAAAUGUUUCUGUAGCCUUAUCCCUCAAACCAUAACCUAUAGAGUGUCUUUAUUUCUAGCAAAACUGCAUACCAGCAUGGCAGAAAUUUCAUGAACCCUUCAAGCCAUGCACAGUAAAUUAACCACAGGCCAAAGCAUAAACAGAAAGCUAAUAUCAACUUCUUUAUACCUUUGUUCCAAUUUCUUAAUAGAGAAACUGUGACAGUUUUGAUAUAUCUAUGCCUUCUUAUAUCUUAUAAGAAAUUAAAAUUAAAUAACCUGUGCUGCUGAAAUCAACAAUACAAUCACGCGACUUAUCCUCACAUGGAAUCUCAGGAAACUCUCAAUCUUUUUAUGGCACUCAUCAAUACUUGAAGCAAUUUGCUGUUACAGGAGGAGACAAAAUAGAGAAGCAAUGGUUAAGAAUUGAGGUUAAAUUGAAAAGUAAUUUCACAAAAUAAGCAACUUACAGUGAUCAGUUGGGAAUCUUUAGAUAUAAAAAUGGGUUCAGGACCCCGUAUAGAUUAUUCAUAAGAAAAUUUGAAAAAAGAAAGUAUAAUUGGACAAUUCUUAACUGCUUGUGGAAGAUUGGUCUAAAAGAUCAAGCAAAUUAUAUGUUUCUUUUACUGAGUACUUAAUUAUAUGAAGAAAAACUUCUGGUUAUUGUAAAAGAUUAAUUUCAAGUUAAUUUUUCUGAUGGAUUUUAUCGCUAAAAGAAUCCCAAAUACCCAUGCAUUGGACAAUGUCAAGCAAGCGUACCGCUAACAGAUCCAUCUUGAAGAAAACUAUGACAAUAACAGCCACCUCAAGGAAAAGAAGGCAGCAGCCAAUGAAAAUAUAAGAACAAAUAGUGUAAUUGCUGAUAGAAUUAACUGCCAUAUAACCACAUAGGGUGCUCAAGCAGACAGCAAUUCCCACACCUGAACAUGUAUAUAUAAACCUGCAAUGUAAAACAGAAGCAAUAAUAUGCCGUGAUAUUUUGGGUUAAGCAGAAUUUGGUUUAAACAAAAAAACACCAACCAAACCUAUUUAGUUCGGAAAUUCGGUUUAAUUAAUUGUUGUUAGGUCUAAAAUUAAGUCUGAAAUGAGUCCAAAAUAAACCAAGUUGAAGCUCAAAUCGAUAAAUCAAACUGAACCGAUUUAGUUUGGUUCAAUUCGAUUUUUCUCUAAUUCAGUUCAGUUUUGUCUGCUAUAAAUUUUGGUUUGGUUUGUUUUCCAGACCAGCAAGGGAACUAAAUAUCAAUAACAAGAAAAUUGCAAGGUAUUAGGCUAUCGUAGCAUCUGUGUAUGAAAAUUUCAUGUGCAAUUUCUAAUUGUACUUCUGUGAGGAAACUCAGUUAUAGAAGCUAUCUAACAUACAAGAAAAUGGACCACCAAAUUCAAGAGUGGGACAAAGACAUGAAGAAAUAAAUUAAUAUAAUCCUAUGAUUGACAAAGACAGCAUUUGACAACUUCAUACUACACAUGCGUAAUACAUACACUAUGGUAUUAUUUAAUCAUAUAUUACAAGCAGAAAUACCAGACUGAAACUACCACCUAAAAGAAUUGUAAUAAAAAUGAAAACUAAAAACCAUAUAUUAGAUUAUGCAUACAAAUAGCAGAAGAAAACAUGGGACUUAGAGCAAAAGAUUAUAUUUGCAUACACAGGUUAGAAAGAGAGAAAUGAUCCUAGGUGAUGUCAUAUAUGCUUCAAGAAAUGGGUGUGUUCAGUGAGUAAUAAUAAGCAGAGAUGGAAAAUUUACCAAGGUUUUGGAGGAGGUGAGGCAGGAUGUAGCACAGAAAAACAUUGAUGCCACUUCUUGUCAAGCCAGAGGGAGUAGAUGAUUAUUCCAAUUGCAAAGAAGACCAUUAUCAGGUUCAAUAACUUUAUUGAGUUGUGCAAGCUACAUCUCGGGCACCUGACCAUUGCUAAUCUUGGUGUAACCUGUGUUAAGGUACGGAAGUCAAUGUUAGUAUGCAUAUAAAUAAUCUCCCUCCAAGCUUACACUCCAUUUGAAAUGAAGUGCCAGUGGGCUUUACUGCUUUAGUGUGGGGUUUCGGUGGUAGGGUUGUGUGUGCUGAGAGAGAUACCAAUUCUAGUGGAGAUGCUCCUGAGGUGUGCUGAGAGACAGGACGACCCCUACAUGCGUUGAAAGACAGAUGCAAAAAGGCAGAAAACGUGUACAUAAACACCAAAGCCUAAGAAGACCUAACAUUCAAAGUACAAAACACCAAAUGAUUGACGUCUCAUUGCCCAAGGACCAUUAACAUCAACAUCAAUAAAUAUAUUCUUUUUAAUUAAGACUUCAUUUUUCACAGGAUUAGUAUUCUAUUCAGUACAAAUAACAGUUUGACAAAAUAAUAAAACGGUAACAUAUGGAUGGAAGCAGACCCUCGCAAGAUUUCCUAUCAAAAAAUUCCAGUAUUUGAAAGCCAAAAUGUUAAAACCAUUCAUCACACAAUUAGUUCCCGUAGGAUGGCCUGGAGGACGUUUGCUUUUAAACCUCAGCAACAAGCUCCUGCUAACGUUCAGGGUUGGUUCUUGAUGCAGACAGAUAACAGCAGAAUCCCAAGCUCAUAAGAACAUUAUCUAUUCUAUUGUUCAAAACUAGUCAAGGAGCAAAGCAUAACAAUCAAGAGCCAGCAAAGAAUAAAUGUCAUCCCCAACAUUAUCUUAGUCUCAGUUGGCACACCCCUAGUUCAGGAUUAGGGCUUAAUUGUUGUUGUAGUUUCGGUUGGUACACCCACCAGUCAUAAUGCAUGCGUGCACUUGAGCACUCUGCCAAAUCAAUCUGCGAUUUAAAAAAAUACAAAAGUGGAUGAUUUUUUUUUUUAUUUAUAUAUAUUGUUACAAUAACUUUUAUUUUCAGCCACAAAGCCUAGCAUACAGCAUUCCAAAUACAUUACUAUCUCUAUCUGCAGAGUACAAGAAAAUUACAUUUCAAAGCUAACCAAGUUGCUCUAAUUCAAAAAUAAUAUGCAGGAAAAUGAUGAUAUAAAACAAAAUUCCUGCCAAGGGGGUCAACUUCUAGAAAGUUAAAAGGCCUCAGUCCAGCUUUAUCCGAUCCAUAUCAUUUAUCAUCCCUUCAAGCUUGACAAUUUGCCACAAAAAGUAAUUACCAUACAGCUUCGAUGGUUUUGAUUCAAUUACAUGAAUCAUGUCAUCAUGAAUGUAGAAAUCGACAUCAGCAUUAGAGAGGAUCUUUCCCUCAAAAUAAAUAGCAUGAGUCUUGUGUUUGUACACCAUCAAGAUAGUCCUAUAAUAAAACAGCACAUUAAAAUAUCAUACAGUAAACAAAUUAUCUAAGAGAAAAAAGUAAAAGUUCUCACCUUAGAGUGGGUUCAUCUGCCUCCAUGUAAUUGGCAAGCUUUGCAAUGGAUAUGGUUGAAUACACCUUCAAGAAGGUCCGGACACCUGAUAACAACUGUUGCUGCUUCACUUCAUAGAGAAAUAGCUUCAA
rnacentral:misc_RNA from 1 species